AUACGUAGGGGACAAGCGUUAUCCGGAUUUACUGGGUGUAAAGGGAGUGUAGGCGGCCAGCCAAGUCAGAAGUGAAAUCCCACGGCUCAACUGUGGGCGUGCUUUUGAAACUGGAGGGCUUGAGUACUGGAGGGGCAAGCGGAAUUCCUGGUGUAGCGGGGAAAUGCAUAGAUAUCAGGAAGAACACCGGAGGCGAAGGCGGCUUGCUGGACAGAGACUGACGCUGAGGCUCGAAGGCGUGGGGAGCGAACAGGAUUAGAUACCCUGGUAGUCCACGCGGUAAACGAUGAAUGCUAGGUAUUGGGCUCCAUAGGGGUUCGGUGCCGCAGUUAACGCAAUAAGCAUUCCACCUGGGGAGUACGUUCGCAAGAAUGAAACUUAAAGGAAUUGACGGGG
rnacentral:rRNA from 1 species